ACCUUUGUCGUCGCAAAAGGUUUUACUUUUUAGUCGAUUUCGGUCGGGCUAAAAAGCGAUAGGGAAAACCGUGAAAUUCGGUUACAGUACCCGCUGCUGUGAGUUCUUGCCCGUUUGUUGUUAGAAGCAUUCGUAUAGGGCAGUCUCCGAGCCAACGAAGCCACUGUUCGAUGAAUGGGAAGGCGACUCGGGGUAGAGAGGACAAGUCAGAAGACCUGCCUUUUGUGAGUAUAGUUU
rnacentral:ncRNA from 1 species